AUGGCUAACAAUUACUGUGUUAGCUUCCUGUUGUUCUUCACUGCACUGAUUUCUCUACUACCCAAAUCUUACCCAGAGUCCACAAAUCAGUAUAGUGAUGAACACCAAAUCCUUCUGGGACUCAAGAGAUACUGGGGGAGCUCAACUGUGCUUGGCAGAUGGAACUCCAUUUCCUCUGACCACUGCAGAUGGGGAGGACUUACAUGCACAAAAGGUGAGGUCACUGCCAUCUCCCUUCCACAGCAAACCCUUAUGAAACCAAUCCCACCGUCCCUUUGCCUCCUCAAGAAUCUUGCCUACUUGGACCUCUCCUACAACAACUUCUCCACUUCAUUCCCUACAAUACUCUACAAUUGCUCCAAUCUGAAGUACCUGGACCUUUCCAACAACGCCUUUGGUGGGAAACUCGCAGCUGACAUAAACAGUUUAUCAGCAAAGCUAGAGCAUCUCAACUUAUCAAGCAAUCGCAUCAUGGGCGAAAUCCCACCAUCCAUUGGAUGGUUUCCAAAGCUCAAGUCACUGAUCCUUGACACCAAUCAGUUUGAUGGAAGCUAUCCAGUACAGGACAUAAGCAAUCUAGCCAACCUCGAGAUGCUGACUCUGGCGGACAAUCCAUUUCUGCCAGCUCCAUUCCCAGUUGAGUUUGGCAAGUUGACACGCCUCACAUACUUGUGGCUGUCGGGUAUGAACAUGACAGGUGAGAUACCUGAGAGCAUAUCAAGCCUCACAGAGCUCAGCCUCUUGGCCGUGACAAAUAAUAUGCUGCAAGGCACAAUUCCAACAUGGGUAUGGCAGCAUAAGAAGCUUCAGUACUUGUACAUGUUUAACAACGGUUUGACAGGCGAGAUUUCAUCCAGUGUCACAGCCGUAAACUUGGUGGAGCUUGAUGUGUCCUCAAACAAUCUAACAGGGUCAAUACCAGAUGACUUUGGUAAGCUCAUCAACCUUACCCUGUUGUUUCUCUACACGAAUCAACUUCAUGGGUCAAUACCGCCAAGCAUUGGGUUGCUGCCGAAUCUCAGAGACAUCCGGCUAUUUGAGAACAUGUUAACUGGUUCUCUUCCACCAGAGCUCGGAAGGCACUCACCGCUAGUCAAUCUUGAAGUCUGUGAAAAUAACCUUUCUGGCGAGCUGCCAGCUGAUCUUUGCUUCAACAGGAAAUUAAAUGACAUUGUUGUGUUCAAUAAUAACUUUUCUGGAAAGCUUCCAGAAUCGCUAGACGGCUGCUAUCUGUUGAACAAUUUAAUGUUGUACAACAAUCAUUUUACUGGAGAAUUCACCAAGAGCAUCUGGUCAGUGGUGACAAAUCAGCUAACGACAGUUAUGAUCCAAAACAACAAUUUCUCUGGGACCUUUCCUACCCAGCUGCCAUGGAACUUUUCACGUCUUGAGAUGAGCAACAACAGAUUCUCUGGUCCCAUUCCAACUUUAGCAGGCCAAAUGAAAGUAUUCAGGGCAGUAAAUAACUUGCUUUCUGGCCAAAUUCCCUGGGAUUUGACGGGCAUUUCACAGGUAGAAGAGCUUGACCUUUCUGGAAAUCAAAUUAAUGGAUCGAUACCCAUGGCAAUUGGAGUGCUAAAGCUCAAAGCACUUAAUCUAAGUGGAAAUCAGAUAUCUGGUACUAUACCUGCAGCAUUUGGGUUUAUGUCAGAGCUAACCAUCCUUGACCUCUCCUCGAAUGCGCUAUCUGGCGAGAUCCCAAAAGAUAUCAAUAAGUUGAAUUUGAACUUUUUAAACCUCUCCAUGAAUCACCUCACAGGGGAAAUUCCAACAUCAUUGCAAAACAAAGCAUAUGAGCAAAGCUUCCUCUUAAAUCCAGGCCUCUGUGUCUCAUCGAAUAAUUCUAUUCCAAAUUUCCCAUUCUGCAGGGCAAGAGCAAAAACCAACAAUGAUAUCUCCAGGAGGCUUAUAGCCCUCUUUUUCGUUCUUGCCAGUAUAAUGCUUGUGGGUUCGGCUGUUGCUGGUUUCUUGCUAUUACAGAGGCAAAAGAAUAGUCAAGAUUCUCUAUCAUGGAAACUGACCCGGUUCCAUGCACUGCAUUUCACAGAGAACGAUGUUCUUUCCGGGCUAUGUGAGCAGAACUGGAUUGGAAGUGGCAGGUCUGGCAAGGUGUAUCGAAUUUGUGUUGUGGAUGGAGAAGGUGGUAGUAGAAUGGUGGCUGUUAAAAGGAUAUGGAACGCGCAGAACCUUGAUAACAAGCUCGAGAAGGACUUCCUUGCAGAGGUCCAGAUAUUGGGCGAGAUCCGGCACACAAACAUUGUCAAGUUGCUCUGCUGCAUCUCAAGCUCAGAGGCAAAGCUUCUUGUUUACGAGUACAUGGAAAACAGUAGCUUAGACAAGUGGCUGCAUCAGAGAGAUAGAGUUGGUUCACUAGUGCCUUUGGAUUGGCCCACCAGAUUGCAAAUUGCCAUUGACUCAGCAAGAGGUCUCUGCUAUAUGCACCAUGAUAGUUCACCUGCCAUAGUGCACUGUGAUGUCAAGUCUGCUAAUAUCCUUCUAGACCCCAAGUUCAGAGCAAAGCUAGCCGACUUUGGGCUUGCUCGGGUUCUUCUCAAAACCGGAGAUCCAGCAUCAAUUUCUGCCGUAGGCGGUACCUUUGGCUACAUGGCACCAGAGUACGGAUACCGGCUUAAGGUGAAUGAGAAGGUCGACGUCUACAGCUUCGGAGUGGUCCUGUUGGAGCUCACAACGGGGAGGGUGGCAAAUGAUGGAGGCUUGGAGUAUUGCUUGGCAGAAUGGGCAUGGAGACAGUAUCAAGAGUAUGGCCUGUCAGUUGAUCUUCUUGAUGAAGACAUUCAAGAUCCAGCCAACACUGAAGAUGCAUUUGCAGUGUUUACGCUAGGUGUGAUCUGUACAGGUGGGCAGCCUUCAGUACGGCCAUCAAUGAAGGAUGUGUUGCACGCUCUUCUCCGUUUCGAACAUAAAUCAAGGAAAAGAAGCCUGCAGCAUGCUGUCUCCGAAGAGACAACACUUCUAGAAUCCUAG
rnacentral:rRNA from 1 species